rnacentral:lncRNA from 1 species
AUGCACACCUACAGUGAUCACAGGCACUGCCUACUGGAAGGUCUUCUUUGGCUGGGUUCCAGUUUCCUCAGACGAUGUAGGGCAGGGAGUUCCACUUGUCAGCAUAUCCCACAGGGCCUUUCUCUUCAAAUGGACCCCAGAAGCCAACCACACAGCUGUCUCAGCAAGCGUAGGAGAUGGCACAUCAGAGACCAACAAUUGUUAGCACAGCAAAACUGGGCGUUUCUUUUCUUACUGAGCUUUGCAGCUACCUACACAGUUGUGUGUGGCAUCUCCUCCUGGGGGCAAGGACAUGAGAUGACAUCAGCUUCAGCUGGUUCUCCUAAACCGUGA